UGAUGCUGCCGUACUACUUUUGUUAAUGAUAACGUUCACACUAGUAGGGCACUGGGUAGCUUGUGUGUUUGAUGCCAUUGCAUUCUGGGAGUGACAGCACUUGGACAAAAGCCAUAGACAGUGAACCCAGCAUAAUCACAGCAUUUUACGUUUACGUUGCUGACGUCAAUAGGAUUGGGAAACGUGUCACCAAAUACUAACGCCGGGAAAAUAUUCCCAACAUUUGCUGUUCUGCUUGGUUGUAAAGAUGAUAUAUUUUGCGGUGUCACGGUGACCUAGAAUUGACGGGAAAAUCGCUCUACUUUGUACUUGCACUUAGAUCAUACUGUGAUAUAAAGAAGACAGAGUCACAUAUGCUGAAAGAAACUCUGAAUACUUCACCAGAAUUUUCAGACAAAAAAAAUCAUGGAUGAAAUACAAGGUAAAUUUUAAGCGGGUAAGUAUGAUAUUUUUACAAUCAAAUCCAUCCGUCGUGAAAUAAUUUCAUUUUCAAAAUUAUUCCGCACUUUCAGAAAACUUAUACAGGGUUUGUUUUACAUUCUGAAAAUAAACAAAAUACCACAUAUAUAACAAACCUAUCAAG